GUUGAGAGGAAUGUUGUCUGGCUCGAGGUCAUUGUGGAGUAUAUUUGUAUAUAUACUGAUAUAUAUACUGAUAUAUGUGAAGUGUUUCAGUUUUCAGGGUAAAUUAAUUUAUACCCUAAAUGAUUCUCGGACCAGGCUUCAUUCCCCCCAGC
rfam:Vigna angularis cultivar Jingnong 6 chromosome 4, whole genome shotgun sequence.